rnacentral:rRNA from 1 species
UACAGAGGUCUCAAGCGUUGUUCGGAUUCAUUGGGCGUAAAGGGCGCGUAGGCGGCCUGUUAAGUCGGACGUGAAAUCCCUCGGCUCAACCGGGGAACUGCGUCCGAUACUGGCGGGCUUGAAUUCGGGAGAGGGAUGUGGAAUUCCAGGUGUAGCGGUGAAAUGCGUAGAUAUUCGGAAGAACACCAGUGGCGAAGGCGGCUCACUGGCCCGGUACUGACGCUGAGGUGCGAAAGCGUGGGGAGCAAACAGG